rnacentral:rRNA from 1 species
AGCGAACGCUGGCGGCAGGCUUAACACAUGCAAGUCGAACGAUGAUGCUGGAGCUUGCUCCAGUUGAUUAGUGGCGAACGGGUGAGUGACACGUGAACAAUCUGCCCUUGACUCUGGGAUAACUGCGGGAAACUGUAGCUAAUACCGGAUACUUUCACCGGAAGGCAUCUUCUGGUGAUGAAAGAAUUUCGGUCAGGGAUGAGCUCGCGGCCUAUCAGCUUGUUGGUGAGGUAACGGCUCACCAAGGCGACGACGGGUAGCCGGCCUGAGAGGGUGACCGGCCACACUGGGACUGAGACACGGCCCAGACUCCUACGGGAGGCAGCAGUGGGGAAUAUUGCACAAUGGGCGCAAGCCUGAUGCAGCAACGCCGCGUGAGGGAUGAAGGCCUUCGGGUUGUAAACCUCUUUUAGCAGGGAAGAAGCGAAAGUGACGGUACCUGCAGAAAAAGCACCGGCUAACUACGUGCCAGCAGCCGCAGUAAUAC